CUUUCCCAGAAAUCCAAAUCAGUAUUACCAUUUGCUUUAUUUAGUUCAAAUUCAUACACCAUGUUUUCACAUCAUAUUGAUUAGCAUGGAUUAUAACAGAGAUACAAAUAACUGAAAAUAUAAACUAAUGAGAAAAAAGUGGUAGCUGUGAAAAUUCCAAUUCUGGUUCCAAGUAUUUAUAUUAUACAUGCCCAAUCUGGAUGAAUAGAGCUAUUUGAAUUUGGAUGGAGGGCAGAGCUAUGGGAACCUUGACUGUGAGCAUCUAUAUGUCAGAAUUUAUCACUACAUAAAUACAUGCAUGUACUGGUUUUCUCUCUCAACAGUUUUCAGCUUCUCUGAGCUCCAUGGCUUCUCUGUCCAGGGAAGCACCCAAGGAAAUAAUGUCUCUCCUCUGCAUGAUGCAUUUUCUGUUAUAGAUUCUUCUGAUUGUGAUUACUCUAUGUGCAUGUUACAUCCAGAUUGGCAAGAUAAUCUAAUGUGCUACUAUGAGGAAGAUGAUGAUUUACUGUAUUGUUCUUGGUUAGCGCUCCCCCAGACAUUUCUAUAUACUGUGGUUUUCAAAUGGUAAGUUGAAAAAAACUUUUUAAAAAUCAUGCCAAUACUUUCUCAGAGUAACUUUAAUUCCUCUCUCCGUGUAAAUAUCAGAAGGAAGAUUUUUCUCAGGAUCAAAACAGAGUGGAGAAGGGGAGACAAAAGCAUUCCUGCAGAGUUGCUGAAGUUUUGGUAACAGAUUGCCCAGCUGAUAUAGUUUGCUUUUUUAUAAACCCUACAUCACACCAUCAAGAGCCAGCAUUGUGUUGUGGUUUUUGUGUUAGGCGCCGCUAUACUCUAAAGACUAAGGUUCAAAUCCCACUUUUGGGCCAUGGACACUCAUGGGUGACCUUGGGCAGGUCACACUCUCUCAGCCUCAGAGAUAAGCAAAGACAAACAAAUCUUGCCAAGCAAAUCCUGUGAUAAGUUCACUGUGUGUGAGCAUUGGUUUAAGUCAUCUGUUGACUUGCAGUGAUCCCAAAAAUUUCAUAGGGUUUUUGGCAAAGAAUACUCAGUGGUGCCUUGAACUGUUGGAAGAGAUGGGUCUUUGUGUCUUAAAUUUUGGCAGCUCAUUUAAGUGUCGGAGCUCUUCCGGCAGGUCAUUCCACAGUCUUGGGGUGGCUGAUGAAAAGGCUCUCUGAGUGACCAUUACCAGUCAAGUUCUUGCUGGCUGAAGUAACCAUCCUCCAGUACAAAAUUUCACUUGUAGCAUUUUAAAGUCUUAAUAAGAUAUUAGAAAAAUAAACAUCUAAACAGGUGGGAGAAUCCAAAGAUAUAGUGUGUUUAUCUGGAAUAUUAGCUUGCAAACUGAUCAUGUAACACCUUAGUGUUUUACUGAAAGAAUGAUGCAACUUUCUGAUGUCUGUCCCAGAUUAUACUGCUUCUGUUUUUCUGUCAAUUUGCCACUUCUUUUAAACCUGAAUUAUGAACACAUUGCAAAUAUUAGGAACACUGACUUUGCUGUAUGCUUCUGACUCCUGAAGGAAUAGUGUUUGUGAAAAGAUGGAAACGACCAUAUCGUCUAUCGAAAGAAGUUGGCUGUAUUUUCAUUCACAAGAAAAUCUGACUGUAUUGGUCGCCAGCAAUUAUUCCCAGGAGAACUGCAGGACAACAAAGAAAAUGUCCUUUAUACCCAGUAAAACAAGUACAGUACUCUUCUUCAGUAAUCUCAAAUCCAAUUCUUUUCUAUAAAAUAUCUGUUAUGUGGUGCUAUUGAACAGGAAUUUACAUUGGCUGGUAAAUUCCAGCUACUUUAUUGCCAGACAUUUGUCCUUGGCUAUUUGGUCAAUGGGUAAUCUUCUUACCCAUUCCCUUUCUCUUCCUUCCUCCUCUGUUUGUCUCUAUCAACAUCUUUCUAUCAAGCACAGUUUGAAGUCUAAUCUGUUCUUCCCUCACUGAUGUACAGCAUGUGAUGAGUCUUUACUGCCAUAAGAGCAAUGCACAAUUUAAUAUAGUUUCAUGUUUGCGAUUAUGACUAUCUUAGCAUAAGCCGAAAUGGCAUAAUGACUACAGUUGAGUUUCAUCAUGCAAGGCUUUCAAAGUAAGAAGAUUGACUGUAAGAGCAUGCCAUUUAGAUGUCCUUUCCACCCUGGAGCUAUAAAAGACUGCAUGAAGAGUUAUUUAUUCCUUCUCCCUGUGUGGACCAGGCAUUGUUCUGCUUAUGAAUCUCUUUUAGGGAUCCCUAUAGUUGUCAAUGAAUGGGAAAGAAGGUGAAUUUAAUAUGAUCCGCAGAAUUGAGUGGAUAAGGCUUUGUUUGUUCCAGUUCAGUUCUGGAACAUGAGAAAGAGAGUCUUGUCAGAAGGAACAUUAAUCAGAACCUCCAUCCCUUACCUGUUUGUAUACAGGCAGUCCCUGAGUUACAAAUACCCAACUUAUAUAUGACUCAUAGUCAAGAAUCAUUUGAACAAGCAGUUUCUCUUCCCUUUGCUCUUACACCUUGCAGACUGAAGUGGAGACAUCUUAAGGCAUUUCUACUUUUCCAUUUUAGAAAAGUGUCCUUCACCUUCUAUGAUAACAGCAUAUCAGUCAUUCAGUGAAUUAAUAAUUAUAUGGGAUUCACCAGAAGAUAUACUGCAAUAUGAAUUACAGUACAAGGAAGUAAAACUAGCAACUUCAAACUGGACAUCGGUAAGUGUAUGAAAUAUAACAACCAUUCGGUAUUGUCUCAGGAUAUUUUUCCUGCCAAUGUCCACCUUAGUUUUACUGGAAUAUGAAGAAAUUGGCUCAGAAUUAUGGGCUACAACAUUUUUCACCUUGUAUCUAAAUUGGGAUUCUCAGUGAGCUAUUAGGUUGCAAAAGGUUAUAAUGGUGCCGGACUGGAAGCUGCAAGGCAUUUAGUUGAUACUGAUCUCCAGGAAAAUGCUGCACUUGUGUUUUACUGCCUUUCUGAUACAUUAUAUAAGAACUUUACUAUUUAUUCUGGAAAACUGCUCUCCUAUUUAACUUGUCCAUAUAACCUUAAGACCCUUUUAAUGUGCGGACUGAAUACUUUGCAGCUGGUAGAAGUUAAAGGGUGAAAUCAUGGCAUACCCAGCACAGAUAGUGCCCAUAUGGCUGUGGAAUGAUAGAAGAUUUAUCUUGUUUUUUCUAGAAUCCUCUUUGUAUUUAGAUUGAAGAACUCACUGCCUCUUACUGUUCAUAUUAAAGAUUAAAUAAUUAUCUCAUCAAAAAUACAUGACAUUUGGCUAAAAUAUGAUGGGGGAAGUUGUAGAAGUAGAAUUUGGGUUUUGCUUUGCAGUCCUAUUGACAUUCCAGCACAAAAUGCUGAAUUUCAUACAUUUUUAAAGAUGAACAUUGCCUAAUUUCCCUUGCAUUAAGAAUGAUUAGCUUAAUUGCACUUAUUUUCAGAUUCCUGUUGUGAGUGGAGCUUUUAAUGCAACUGUCUCCAGUGUAAAAUUAUCAUCAUCUUAUGUUGCUAGGCUCAGAUGUGUGCCCAAAGUCAAAAGUUGUUCUAUUUGUGUUUGGAGUGAAGAGAUUUCUAUCCCAAAUAGUAAGUGUCAGGUAUAUUAAUUGGUCUGAAAAAAUAUGGAUGCAUUUCACUUUUUUAUGACCCUUAAAACCUUAUGGAUAACCUUCUGUGUUGACUUUAGACAUACUGUUGUUCUUUAACAGAGCUUACUGAAAAGCCAAUCAUUUUAGAAGACACCGUUAAAGUGAUCACACAAGGAAAGA
rnacentral:lncRNA from 1 species